AGACUUACAUAUAUAUGCCAGGCACAGUUUUGUUGUUAGGAAUAUAAAGAUGGGAAAAUCUUGAUUCGUGUGUAGGGGUGGGGAUGGCAAAAGAUACUCCAAAAGAUAAUUUCAAAACAGGUAGUAAAUGCUAUGAUAGAGUCUAGGUAACUGCUCUUGUUAUCUGGAACCUACUUAAACCAUGGAUGGUGUCUUAGACUGCUUCUAUUGCUGUAAAGGAAUACCUAAGCUGGUUAAUUUAAAAAGAAAAGAGGCUUAUUUGGCUCAUAGUUCUGUAGAUUAUAUAAAAAGAAUGGCUCCAGCAUCUACUUCUGGUGACGGCUUCAAGUUGCUUCCAUUCAUGGUGGAAGGUGAAAGAGAGCUGGCACGUGCAGAGAUUACAUGGCAAGAGAAGAAGAAAGCGAGAAUGGAGAGGGGGACCAGGCUCUUUUUAACAACCGGCUUUAGCCUGGAGCGGUAGCUCACACCUGUAAUCCCAGCACUUUGGGAGGCCGAGGCGGAUGGAUCACGAGGUCAAGAGAUUGAGACCAUCCUGGCCAACAUGGUGGAACCCAUCUCUACUAAAAAUACAAAAAUUAGCCGAGAGUGGUGGCGGGUGCCUGUAGUCCCAGCUACUCAGGAGGCUGAGGCAGGAGAAUCGCUUUAUCCCGGGAGGCGGAGGGUGCAGUGAGCCAAGAUUGUGCUAAUGCACUCCAACCUGGCGACAGAGUGAGACUCCACCUCAACCAAAGUAAAUAAAUAAAUGAAUAAAUCAGCUCUUGCAGGAACUAAUAGAGUGAGAACCUUACUAUGGGGGACAAUACCAAGCCAUUCAUGAGGGAUUCACCGCCGUGAUCCAAAGCUUCCCAUUAGGCCCACCUCCAACAUUGGGAAUUGAAUUUCAACAAGAGGUUUGGGAAGGCAAACAUUCAAACUAUUGAGAAUGCAAUGCCUGUGGCGUUUCUGUGGUCAUGAGGUGGCAAGGAAUGUUUGGUUGCCUUUACUUCCUGGAGCUGAAGAUUCAGUUGGUAUGACUUCAAAAACAUACCACAUAUGUGGAUUUCUAGACCAGUGCUAUGCAAUAUAACUUUUGUGGAUAUUUUUGAUGUAUACAUUGCUCGGUACAGUAGCCACUAACCACAUUAGCUAUUGAGCACUGAAAUGUGACUAUUGCAAUUGAAGAAUUAAGUCUUUUAUUUAAUUUUAAUUUAAAUAGCUACAUGUGGGGAAUGGCUACCAUAUUGGAGAGUGUAGUUCUAGAAUAUCAAGUGGUUGCUAUAGACACAAGCUGACUUCUUCGUAGCUCCUCUCUCUUCCCUCAGAGCCACUGUCUCAAGACUCUGCCCUUCUUCAAGAGAAGAGCCCAGAAGAAGAGAGAAUGACUGCUAGGCCCUUUAUGGCUGGAUUCAGGCCAUGUAAGGCAUGCCUGCUUCCCCUUCACCUUCCACCAUGAUUGUAAGUUUCCUGAGGCCUCCCCAGGUGUGCUUCCUGUACAGCCUGUGGAAUGUUACCAAAGACGUUGGAAGAGGUGGCUAUGGACAUCACCUGGGAGAAGUGGAAGCAAAUGGACACUGUUCAGAAGUCCAUAUACAGAAACAUGUUGGAAAAAUAUAGAAACCUGGUUUUGCUAGAUGGGAAGCUUGAACGUGGGGCCAAGACAUCAAGAGUAGAGCAGCAGGACAUUUCAAAAGAAGAUUAAUCUCAAAGAUUAGAGAUGGAAGAACUUGCAAAGAGAAAGUCUGUACCGGAAGAAAUCUGGAAAUCUAGAGGCCAGUUUAAGAAUCAGCAGCUAAACAAGGAGAAUAAUCUAGGGCAAGAGAUAGCUACCUGCACAAAAAUUCCUACCAGAAAAAGAGACAUAGAAUCUAAUGAAUUUGUGAAAAAUUUUACUGUAAGAUCAAUACUUGUUGCAGAACAGAUAGAUCCUAUGGAAGAGAAUUGUCAUAAAUAUGGUACAUGUUGAAAGAUGCUCAAACAAAACUCAGAUUUAAUUAUACAAAGAAAGUAUGAUGGAAAAAAAAAAACCUUGUAAAUAUAGUGAAUGUGGGAGAACCUUCAGAGGCCACAUCACUCUUGUUCAGCAUCAAAUAACUCAUUGUGGAGAGAGACCCUGUAAAUGUACUGAGUGUAGAAAGGGAUUUAAUCAGAGUUCCCACUUAAGAAAUAAUCAGAAAACUCUUUCAGGAGAAAAGCCCUACAAAUGCAGUGAGUGUGGGAAGGCCUUCAGUUAUUGCUUAGUUCUUAAUCAACACCAGAGAAUUCACAGUGGAGAGAAACCUUAUGAGGGUACUGAAUGUGGCAAGACAUUCAGUCGUAGUACAUACCUUACUCAGCAUCAAAGAAUUCACACUGGUGAGAAGCCCUAUACAUGUCUUGAAUGUGGAAAGGCUUUUAGUCAGAACACACAUCUUACUCUACAUCAGAGAAUCCAUACUGGAGAGAAACCUUAUGAAUGCAAUGAAUGUGGUAGGUCCUUUAGUCAGAGUGCACAUCUUACUCAACAUCAAAGAAUGUAUACAGGAGAAAAACUCUAUGAAUGUAAUGAAUGUGAGAAAGCCUUCCAUGAUCACUCAGCUCUUAUUCAACAUCAUAUUGUCCAUACUGCAGAGAAACCCUAUGAAUAUCAUGACUGGGAAAACUUUCAGUUACUGUUCAGACCUCAUUCAACAUCAGAGAAUGCACACUGGAGAGAAACCAUACAAAUGCAAUGAAUGUGGGAAUGCCUUUAGUGAUUGUUCAUCCCUUAUUCAGCAUCAAAGAACUCACACCGGAGAAGAGCCUUAUGAAUGUAAGCAAUGUGGAAAAGCCUUUAGCAGAAGCACAUACCUUACUCAACAUCAGAGAAGUCACGCAGGAGAGAAACAGUAUAAAUGCAAUGAAUGUGAGAAAACUUUCAGCCUGAGUUCAUUCCUUACACAGCAUAUGAGGGUUCAGACUGGAGAAAAACCCUACAAAUAUAAUGAAUAUGGAAAAGCUUUUAGUGACUGCUCAGGACAUUUUCAGAGAACUCACACUGGAGAGAAGCCCUGUGAAUGUAAUGACUGUGGGAAACCUUUCAGUUUCUGUUCAGCCCUAAUUCAACAUAAGAGAAUUCAUACCAGAAAGAAGCCCUGACUGUACCUUCAUACCAGUAAAUGCACUGACUGUGGAAAAGCCUUCAGUGAUUGGUUAGCACUUGUUCAACAUCAGAUAACUCAACACUGGAGAAAAACCGUAUAAAUGUACUGAAUGUGGAAAAGCCUUCAGUUGGAGUACAGACCUCAAAAAUCACCAGAAAACUCAUACUAGUGAAAAAUCCUAUAAAUGUAAUGAAUGUAGAAAGGCCUUUAGUUACUGCUCUGGUCUUAUUCAAUGUCAGGUCAUUCAUACUAUAGAAAAACCUUAUGAAUACGGUAAAUGUGGCAAAGCCUUUAGGCAGAGGACAGACCUUAAAAAACAUCAGAAAAUGCAUACCGAAGAGAAACCCUAUGAAUGUAAUGAAUGUGGGAAAGCCUUUAGCCAGAGCACAUAUCUUACAAAACACCAAAAAAUUCAUAGUGAAGAGAAAUCAAAUAUACAUACUGAGUGUGGGGAAACCAUUAGACAAAACUCUUCUUUUUUACAACAAUAAAAACCUCACACUGGAGAGAUUCUCUGAAUGCCUUAAGAAUUUGGUUAAUAUGGAGACCCUUCCCAGGGAAACAGAAGGAGGAUCGUGAAAACUGUUGACUACUUAGAAUGAUCACAUGGUUUAGUGGAGAGAGCAUGAUUCUGGGUUUUAAAAGUCAUGGAUCUCAAUCUCAGCUCCUAUUACUAACUAGAUCUUUUACUUUGGGGUAAGUCACUUCAUAUCUUUAGGCCUUAAUUUCCUCAUCUGAAAAACUGGAAGGCCUGACUUGUUGAGCUUUAAGAUCCUCAAUUAUUAUAUUUACUAGGAAUUCAAGUUUCUAUAGAUGUGGUUCAGAAUUGUGACUUAUUUAUUGUACAUCAGGUGUGAUUCACAAGUGAGCUUGUAGUAGUUAUUAAGGAGUCAAUAAAGAUAUGAUAUAGA